UACGUAGGGGGCGAGCGUUGUCCGGAUUUAUUGGGCGUAAAGAGCUCGUAGGCGGUUUGGCAAGUCGGGUGUGAAAACUCCGGGCUCAACUCGGAGACGCCACUCGAUACUGCCAUGACUCGAGUCCGGUAGGGGAGUGCGGAAUUCCUGGUGUAGCGGUGAAAUGCGUAGAUAUCUGGAGGAACACCGGUGGCGAAGGCGGCAUCCUGGACCGAUAUUGACGCUGAUGCGCGAAAGCCAGGGGAGCAAACGGG
rnacentral:rRNA from 1 species